rnacentral:rRNA from 1 species
CCUACGGGAGGCAGCAGUGAGGAAUAUUGGUCAAUGGGCGCGAGCCUGAACCAGCCAAGUCGCGUGAGGGAGGACGGCACUACGGGUUGUAAACCUCUUUUGCCGGGGAGCAACGGGCGCCACGUGUGGCGUCACUGAGAGUACACGGAGAAAAAGCAUCGGCUAACUCCGUGCCAGCAGCCGCGGUACUACGGAGGAUGCGAGCGUUAUCCGGAUUUAUUGGGUUAAAGGGGUGCGUAGGCGGAUCGUAAAGUCAGUGGUCAAAUUGAGGGGCUCAACCCGUUCCCGCCAUUGAAACUGGCGUUCUUGAGUGGAAGAGAAGUAUGCGGAAUGCGUGGUGUAGCGGUGAAAUGCAUAGAUAUCACGCAGAACCCCGAUUGCGAAGGCAGCAUGCCGGCUUCCGACUGACGCUGAAGCACGAAAGCGUGGGGAUCGAACAGGAUUAGAUACCCGUGUAGUC